CGUGAGUAACCUGCCUUGGAGUGGGGAAUAACACAGUGAAAAUUGUGCUAAUACCGCAUAAUGCAUUUGGAUCGCAUGGUUCUGAAUGCCAAAGAUUUAUCGCUCUGAGAUGGACUCGCGUCUGAUUAGCUAGUUGGCGGGGCAACGGCCCACCAAGGCGACGAUCAGUAGCCGGACUGAGAGGUUGGCCGGCCACAUUGGGACUGAGACACGGCCCAA
rnacentral:rRNA from 1 species